rnacentral:rRNA from 1 species
CAGUAGCCGCGGUAAAACGAAGGGGGCUAGCGUUGUUCGGAAUUACUGGGCGUAAAGCGCACGUAGGCGGAUAUUUAAGUCAGGGGUGAAAUCCCAGAGCUCAACUCUGGAACUGCCUUUGAUACUGGGUAUCUUGAGUAUGGAAGAGGUGAGUGGAAUUCCGAGUGUAGAGGUGAAAUUCGUAGAUAUUCGGAGGAACACCAGUGGCGAAGGCGGCUCACUGGUCCAUUACUGACGCUGAGGUGCGAAAGCGUGGGGAGCAAACAGGAUUAGAUACCCCGGUAGUCCCUGUCUCUUAUAC